rnacentral:rRNA from 1 species
AUUGAACGCUGGCGGCAGGCCUAACACAUGCAAGUCGAACGAGUGGCGGACGGGUGAGUAAUGUUUGGGAAUCUAGCUUAUGGAGGGGGAUAACUACUGGAAACUGUAGCUAAUACCGCGUACCAUAGGAUGAGCCCAAGUGGGAUUAGGUAGUUGGUGGGGUAAAGGCUCACCUAGCCGACGAUCUCUAGCUGGUCUGAGAGGAUGACCAGCCACACUGGGACUGAGACACGGCCCAGACUCCUACGGGAGGCAGCAGUGGGGAAUAUUGCACAAUGGGGGCAACCCUGACGCAGCCAUGCCGCGUGAAUGAAGAAGGCCUUCGGGUUGUAAAGUACUUUCGGUAGGGAGGCGUUACCUGCAGAAGAAGCACCGGCUAACUCCGUGCCAGCAGCCGCGGUAAUAC